rnacentral:ribozyme from 1 species
UGACAAAAAAAAAUAAAAAAAAUAAAAAAAAAAAAAAGGAAUCUGCUUCACAAAACCACUU